rnacentral:rRNA from 1 species
GAUGAACGCUGGCGGCGUGCUUAACACAUGCAAGUCGAACGAAACACCUUAUUUGAUUUUCUUCGGAACUGAAGAUUUGGUGAUUGAGUGGCGGACGGGUGAGUAACGCGUGGGUAACCUGCCCUGUACAGGGGGAUAACAGUCAGAAAUGACUGCUAAUACCGCAUAAGACCACAGCACCGCAUGGUGCAGGGGUAAAAACUCCGGUGGUACAGGAUGGACCCGCGUCUGAUUAGCUGGUUGGUGAGGUAACGGCUCACCAAGGCGACGAUCAGUAGCCGGCUUGAGAGAGUGAACGGCCACAUUGGGACUGAGACACGGCCCAAAAUCCUACGCGAGGCAGCAGUGGGGAAUAUUGCACAAUGGGGGAAAACCUGAUGCAGCGACGCCGCGUGAGUGAAGAAGUAUUUCGGUAUGUAAAGCUCUAUCAGAAGGGAAGAAAAUGACGGUACCUGACUAAGAAGCACCGGCUAACUACGUG